rnacentral:rRNA from 1 species
UUGGAUUUCUGGUGUGGUGCGGCUGGUCCGUCGCCGAUAGGCGGUCGAGUACUGGCGUUGCGCCUACCAUCCCUUCUGGAGAGGCCGACUGCACUUCAUUGUGUGGUUGGAACCACCGAUCCAGAUCGUUUACUUUGAAAAAAUUAGAGUGUUUAAAGCAGGCGUCAGCCACUGAAUACAUUAGCAUGGAAUAAUGAGAUAGGACUUUGGCCCUAUUUUGUUGGUUUCUAGGACUGAAGUAAUGAUUGAUAGGGACAGUUGGGGGUGCUAGUAUUUAACGGCCAGAGGUGAAAUUCUUGGAUUCGUUAAAGACUAACUAAUGCGAAAGCAUUCACCAAGGAUGUCUUCUUUAAUCAAGAACGAAAGUUGGGGGAUCGAAGACGAUCAGAUACCGUCGUAGUCUCAACCAUAAACUAUACCGACUAGGGAUCAGCGGACGUUGUUUUUUCGACUCCGUUGGCACCUUAUGAGAAAUCA